AUUUGAGGUAUGUUCAAUGUCAAAUCAACUAUGGAAUUACACAGAUCCCACGUUUAUGUAGUACAUGCGGACAAAUAUUUGAUUGGCCAGCUUCCUCACUAUUUGAGGAGGGUACCUUCAGCCAUCAAGACUAUCUCGGAUGACAACACCGACAUUCAGGCAACAACACUUGCCUUUUAGCGCAAUUCCAUCUUAGAAGAAGUUGUGCGGCAAGUAGAACAAACUAGGAAAAGGGUUUCCUGUGAAGAUUAUGUUCUUCCUGAUAGGAUUUUAUUUUGCCAUGGCGCUUGCUUUUGUCGCCGGACAAACAGGUCACUGGGACAUACUGUGCUUUUCAUUCUACACCAAAAGAUGGUGUAUAAAAGUGAUGUUGUUUACAUAUUAAUGAUGUACAGUGUGCAAUAGAUAUAACCACAUGUAGCUCGAGGUUGUGGUCUUAUGUUCUCAAUGAGUGCUACCAUGUAAAGAAUAAUUUGCAGAUAUGUUAUAUGUAUAUCUUUUACUCCCU